rnacentral:rRNA from 1 species
GAUGAACGCUAGCUACAGGCUUAACACAUGCAAGUCGAGGGGAAACGGCAUCGAAAGCUUGCUUUUGAUGGGCGUCGACCGGCGCACGGGUGAGUAACGCGUAUCCAACCUGCCCAUCACUUGGGAAUAACCUUGCGAAAGUAAGACUAAUGCCCAAUGACAUCCCACGAAGGCAUCCGAAUGGGAUUAAAGAUUUAUCGGUGAUGGAUGGGGAUGCGUCUGAUUAGCUUGUUGGCGGGGUGACGGCCCACCAAGGUAACGAUCAGUAGGGGUUCUGAGAGGAAGGUCCCCCACAUUGGAACUGAGACACGGUCCAAACUCCCACGGGAGGCAGCAGUGAGGAAUAUUGGUCAAUGGGCGAGAACCUGAACCAGCCAAGUAGCGUGCAGGAUGACGGCCCUAUGGGUUGUAAACUGCUUUUAUAAGGGAAUAAAGUGGGUCACGUGUGACUUUUUGCAUGUACCUUAUAAAUAAGGACCGGCUAAUUCCGUG